rnacentral:lncRNA from 1 species
AACAAGGAAAGGCAAACAAAUUUGCAUAAUUUAACAACAGGAAUCCAUCAUCAACACAGUCCAAAAUCCGCAUGCUUACAAGCCCCCUCCACACCAAUGUAUUUGGAGUUUUGUAGAACACAACAAAUUUUAACCUUAACCAGUGGUCAUUAAAAGCACAAACCAUUUAUGCUAUCAUUUCAAAAAUACAGAAACAAGUUCCAGUUCCAAAAUACCAAACUUCAAAAUCAAGAAAAAUUUACUUCUAGCCUUCUCUCACAUGGUGAGUAUGAGCUGAUACAACUUAAAAAAUUAACAGAAUACAUCAGGAGUUCAAUAACAUGAGCUAAUUGAUAUCAUUGCCAAAUGCCCCAAGCAGUGGUAAACUAUGUGCUCUGAUUAGUCUAUCAACAAAUGGACCAAAUAGCACAACCAAUUCAUGCAAUGAUUUGAUGGAUAUUGAGCUACACUGAUACACUUGUCUAAUACCAUAUGCACAUGAAAUUUGGACAAACCAUCAAAUUAGUCACAAAGUUCUUUUGAUGUGAAGAAAGACUGAAAAAAAAACAUAUUGAAAAAAAAUCCAAGAAACCUUAAGAGCACGUUUGGUUUGAGGGGUUUGGCGAGAAAUGACAAGAAAUGGAGAGAACUGAAUUUUCUCACACUUUUUGAUUGCAAAAUACGUUAGAAAUUGUUAAAAAUGAUGAGAAAUCGUGAGCUAGAGAAGCCUCUUCUAUUUCUUUUUAUGGUGAGAUUUGGUGAAACUGGUGAGAUUCAAAAAAUGAUUGGCUAUGUUAACAGGGAUGGGAGGCGAUGACCCCAUCAAAACUU